UAUGGAUUUUUUUUUAAAGGGGGACUGGGGUGGAGGGGCCUCUCUCAAUCCUUGCAUGAGACAGCUUUAUACCCUGGAUUGGCAAAGCCCUCUGCCUCUGUGAGAGGAACAUCAGCAAACUCUGGGACAGAAACAAAACCUCUUUCAAUCCGUGCAGUAAGGUGGGAGCCUACCCCAGAGGAUAGAGAGGUGCUGUGGGCCCAAGUUCAGUAGGGCAUAGGCCAGAGAGGUCUGGAGUGGUCACAGCCACACCUAAACAGGGGCAGGAUUCUGCUGAUGAUAGGAAUGUAAGCUCUGCUUGCUGCAUCCAGCUUCCAUAGGUGGAAGAUUCCAGAAGAGAAUUACAAAUUGGCACUUCCCUUCUCAUUUCAGAAAGCUGAAUGCUGAAGAAUUGAUGCUUUUGAACUGUGACGUUGAAGGAGACUUUUGAGAGUCCCUUGCUCUUUGAGGAAAACAGUCAAUCCUAAGGAAAUCAAGCCUAAAUAUGCAUUGGAAGGACUGAUGCUGAAGCUGAAGUUCCAGUACUUUGGCCAUCUGAUGGGAAGAACUGACUCAUUAGAAAAGACCCUAAUGCUUGGAAAGAUUGAAGGCAGGAAGAGAAGGGAACAACUGAGGAUGAGAUGGUUGGAUGGCAUCCCUGACUCAAUCGACAUGAGUUUGAAUGACAGGAAAGUCUGGCAUGUGGCAGUCCAUGGGGUUGCAAAAAGUUGGACAUAACUGAACAACUGAAUAACAAUAAUCUUGUAUUGAAAGCAGAGAGAUCACUUUGCCAACAAAGGUCCGUCUAAACUAUGUUUUUUCCAGUAGUCAUGUACAAGUGUGAGACGUGGACCAUAAAGAAAGCUGAGUGCUGAAGAAUUGAUGUUUUUGAACUGUGGUGCUGGAGAGUGUGGCAGUGUCACUGGUGUCGCACUGAACUAAUUCUCACAACCACACAGAAUUAUGAGAGACAGUGCAGGAAGAACUCAUGAAAGAGCAACUCCUUGAGAAAAUGCUGAGUGGAUAUUUAAUGAGAACUUAUUUGGAAUUCAGUAACAGGGCUCAGCAAAUCAAUAGUAAAACUUUGAAGAUAAGGAAGAUUGUUCUGCUUGCAGAACAGCAUCUGCUGAGGCUGAAGUGUCAGCCAAGGUCUUCAUCUGCUGUGCUGAAGCGGCAGUGGACCUUGGAACGCUUAGUCAGUGCAAGUUCACAAUUCUGCUUGCACACCCACUGAUUGUUCUUCAAAUUUCCAUGCAAGGAUUGCUGCCCCUGGCUGUGUGACACCCUUGGUACUAGGAGAUAACAGAGAAGUACAAAGAAGAACAUUAACUCUGGGAUGUGACUGGGGACAUGGGAAUCUUUUGAUAUCUAAAAAGCAGAUACUUUUUACAUACCAAGAGUUCAAUAAAAGUGAUGUGGAGUUAGUCA
rnacentral:lncRNA from 1 species